rnacentral:rRNA from 1 species
UACGGGAGGCAGCAGUGGGGAAUAUUGCACAAUGGGCGCAAGCCUGAUGCAGCCAUGCCGCGUGUAUGAAGAAGGCCUUCGGGUUGUAAAGUACUUCCAGUCGUGAGGAAGGUGUUAAGGUUAAUAACCUUAGCAAUUGACGUUAGCGACAGAAGAAGCACCGGCUAACUCCGUGCCAGCAGCCGCGGUAAUACGGAGGGUGCGAGCGUUAAUCGGAAUUACUGGGCGUAAAGGGCACGCAGGCGGUUAAUUAAGUUGGAUGUGAAAUCCCCGGGCUUAACCUGGGAAUGGCAUUCAAGACUGGUUAGCUAGAGUCUUGUAGAGGGGGUAGAAUUCCAUGUGUAGCGGUGAAAUGCGUAGAGAUGUGGAGGAAUACCGGGUGGCGAAGGCGGCCCCUGGGACAAAGACUGACGCUCAUGUGCGAAAGCGUGGGGAGCAAACAGGGAUUAGAUACC